GACGAACGCUGGCGGCGUGCUUAACACAUGCAAGUCGAACGGUGAAGCGCCUUCCUUUUUGGUGGGUGUGGAUGAGUGGCGAACGGGUGAGUAACACGUGAGUAACCUGCCCCCUUCUUCUGGAUAACCGCAUGAAAGUGUGGCUAAUACGGGAUAUUCUGGGUCUGUCGCAUGAUGGGUCUGGGAAAGAUAUUGUUUCGGUGGGGGAUGGGCUCGCGGCCUAUCAGCUUGUUGGUGGGGUGAUGGCCUACCAAGGCGGUGACGGGUAGCCGGCCUGAGAGGGUGGACGGUCACACUGGGACUGAGACACGGCCCAGACUCCUACGGGAGGCAGCAGUGGGGAAUAUUGCACAAUGGGCGCAAGCCUGAUGCAGCGACGCCGCGUGAGGGAUGUAGGCCUUCGGGUUGUGAACCUCUUUCGCCAGUGAAGCAGGCCUGCCUCGUUUGUGGGUGGGUUGACGGUAGCUGGAUAAGAAGCGCCGGCUAACUACGUG
rnacentral:rRNA from 1 species